CAAAUAACAAAUAUCCAAGUUGAAGAAAUAGAUACUCCAGCAUUAUUUUAUAAAUUUAACAAAGUGCUAUUUCCUAUUCAAAAACUGUUGUUUUAUUUGUUAAUGAUUUUCUUGUUAGAAAAUUCACCGCAUAAUAUAAUGAGAAUAACGAUGUCACAGAAGUUUGUUAGGCGUACAGGUUUAAUAACUUAAUGAUAGAGACGAGCGAUACUCGCACGUCGCGUAUCGUAUCCGGCUACCGGGUCAUGGGGACCAUACUUGGCGGCACGAAAGCCUGCUUGUAACCAAAGUGAAAUUCCAAUGAGCCUAAUUCGCUCGCCAGACAUGUAGAGAAUUCCUUUCGCGUGCCUUCCACUUAUCGAACCUCAGCGUCCGGAGGUGAGAUCCCGCGGACACAAUGGGCCAAUAAAUAUUAUUCAUCGACAAACACAUUUGCAGAAACGAGUCUCCUCGCGAGUUGUGUGGCGCUAAGAUGUACAGAAGGACGAAAAUACCGCUGUGUACCCGAAAAGGAAUUCCAGAAUUCGAAAGACUCGGUAAAUAAAUAGAAAAAGAUGCUUUAGUUUACUCAAGAAACUUUGAUUUCUUUUAAUCCCCUCUUUUAUUAUUUUUUUUCAUGUUCAAUUUGGAUAUCGCAAGUGUUUUGCUUUCUGUUCAUUAAGAAGCUAUCCUGAAUCACUUGGAAUUUUCAGUUUAUUCAAGAAACAAAAUCAAAUCCUUUUGAUUUCUUCUUUUAUCUUUCUCCUCGUACAGGACACUGUAGAAAUAUUGCGAGUUACAAUAUCUGCUUUGCUUUUCGUUCAUUAAAAAGUUAUUCUGAAUCGCGUGCAAUUUUCACAUUACUUUUUCCUAUUUCAGUUUUGUAGAAUGUAUCGUUGCCCGGUAUGAAUGGGUUUUGUAGUCAUUCAAGUUUCCAGCUCUAUUUGUAUUCCUCGACAGGCGUUCCUAACAUUCCAUUACCGUCCUGUAAUAGAUACUAUAUUAUCCUCCACCGAUUUUUCAAACGCGCUUCUAUCGUACAACCUUCGUUUCUCGUUAAUAUUUUCCAAAUGGAUGAAAUAUCAGGAAAAAUUGGUCCCCUCUGUGAAAUAUAUGAAAUGAUAUAUUCUCUAUGUGGCACCAGGGCAAAGAGAGAAACUAUGAAAACGGCUUGGUUUUUGCAUAGUUAUGCGCGAGGAAUGUGAAAUUCUGAAUUUACUCCGAGAGAAACCUAUUUGAUUCGACGACGCUUUGUUAAACGAGUGUAAACGUCUCACGUCCAUACGGGCGCAAACAGACGGUCUCAGCCAGGUGCUGGAUAAAAGCUGUCGAUGCGGGCUUGGCGGGCUAUUUCGUUCGUAAAGGUCGUAAAUUUGCAACGAGACGCGUCUACUUUUCAACAAAACGUCGUUCAAAGGGAUUCGCAUAACAACUUUUUCUUCGCCCAUCGAACAGUCGGUCUAAAAUAGGACAAUGCCUGAUAAAGGUGAAAUGAAAAAUAACGAGAAGAUUUAAUCGCCAAAGGACGUGAAUGGUGUCUAGAUAGAGGCCCUAAGGAUCCUUCGGUUGCAUACAAUUCCUCGCUUGUCUUCUCGUAUGCGGAGAAGGCGCUUGUUUUGGACCGGAUGAUUUAUUCGAGGUAAUCAGUAAGGACACUGAAUUCUACAGAUGCCUAGAUCCCUAGACUAAUACGUGAUCGUGAUUUAUUGCUGUUUUCCACUGUUACCUAUAUUUAUCUGUAUCUUUAAGUCUCCUUAGAUACCGAAAUAAUGUACCAAAGAUAGAUAAGUCUACGAUAGGAAAUUACUAGAAUGAACAUAUUAGGCGCGUGAAUUAAUUCAGUGUCUUUUUAAACGAUAUUCGUAUAAAAUUAAUCAGCAAAUAGCAUCCAUUAUGUAAUUCAUUUGAAGUUAUGUAAACAGAAAUAACAUCUGUUUAAAGCUACCAUAUAACAGAUAACGAAAUAAUUCAAUUUCAUUUAGUAGAAAUGGAUUUAUAAAGCCACUGAAAAUUAAUAUCUUCAAACGAAAGUAUUUAUAAAAUGGAUAAAUAUUCCCUUGCAAAAGAGAACUCAAAAAAAUAAGCUAACUGUAUCUGAAAAUAAGUCCAAUUGAAAAAUGAAAUGUGCAGUUUCUCUUUGAACAGAUUUCCAAAAACAGCAGUGGCCAAGCUGCUUUUAAUCUACACAUUUAACCAGAUUUCCACGCUGGAUCGUAACUAACAGUCAUUUUCAAAUGUUAAAACCAGUGAAGGAGGGAUACUUGGAUCGACAAGCGGCGAUUGGUCGCGUUAUAUAUGUAUCGAACGUAUUUAAGAACAAGCGCGGUACGAUCCCGGUCUUUCCGGUUUUUCUCUCUCCAGACGCAAUGAAACUACGGUAAAAGCGGCGAGAACGUAAUUAAUAUUCGAAAUCUGAAACGUGGAAACGACGCUGGUUCCUACCGGUGGAUAAACGUUCGUCCGUUCGGUGAAUGCUUUCACUAUGCGUACCUACUGCUGGGAUUAGGCAUGCUGGGAAUCCACAUAACGGAGAAGGCAUUGUUACACGUUCGUAUCAACUGUAACGAUGCUGUUUCUAAUCCCUAGAAAUCAAGAAUCUAGUCUUUAAUAACAUAUUAAAAAAAAAAAAAAAAAAACAAAAAGAAAAAUAAACCAACUUUUCCUCCUCAUUUUGUUUCGUUCCGUUCCGUAUCGUAAUUCUUUCUAAUUCAAACCGCCCACUGGUUUCUUACUUAACGUAAUUUAAACGUUCUUCCAUAUCAUUAAGGCCUAAACGGAUAUAUAACAUUUUAAUAUAUGCGAAAUUCUCGCGAUUUAAUCAGGAAGCCGGAAAACGAGUUCGAAACGUGGCCAGUUUGAGAACGAGGGCGUUUUGUUUCGCGGCCCAAUUUCGCUUCAAACGUAUAUCAUUUUACGUGUCGAUGGAUUUGGGUCGUAGAACUAUAUCGCGAUCGGUUAAUGGCGUUGCGUAACGCCAGACGAGAUACGUGACUCGAUAAAAAUCGAUUGUAUCAUCGACGGUGGGAACGUUCGUUUGGUUUCCUCAAGAUCGAGAGCCUUGUUAUAACCCUCUCUCUCUUGUACGUCUCUUUUUUAUACUCCAUCUUCGUUCCUCCCUUUUCCCGCGCCAGAUUCAUAUAUCUUUUUUCGCGCAUGAACGAACUGACGGAUCUGGUAAAUAGAGUGUCUAAAUAAGUUCCUAACUAUCUUUGUUAGAAACGCAAAACAAUCUUCUCGCGCGCGAUUGUUACCAUCAUGAUGAGUAUAUGUAUAUGAAUAAUAAGCUUGGUAAGGCGCAAGGUGAUCCGAUAUAUCGACGAUUCGUGUUGAUUAUAGGUUAGGUUUAGAGCCCCGGAGCACGGGAACGAUGGAGUAAUUCGUUCCCUGGUCGAAGUCGUAACCGCGGUGUAGAGGUGUCGUAACAGCGACUUAAUAACAGCUACGUUGAAAAGGGAAGGGAAAAGGAAGGAAGAUUUUUAUCAGUUCUAACUCAAAUUCGCUACUCUAUAUUUAACCGUGAGGAACAUUCUAACGCUCUUUACAAAGCUCUUGAGAAUUCAUCGUGGUACUAAAACGAAGAUAAAUAAAAUAUAGGAACAUACAAUCGAUAUAAAAUAAUCUGAGGAACUAUGCGGUAAAAAGUGGAAUAAAAGCAUUAUCUAUCGGAAACGUGGAUUAGCGCCCUACAUAAAAUACAUAGUCACUAAAAUACUAUAUUGUACUAGAUAGGUUAGACUCCUAGACCAUGAGCCCUCGAGCGUUGAAGCUAGCUGUCCGCUAUUAAGGGCAUAGAGGGCGCCAAAACAUUGUAUCGCCCGCGGCGCAAACUCUUGCUACAUCAUCUCAUUAACACGGAAGAAUUUAAGAAACGACGAUGAAUAUUUACUUUCAUUUUUUAAAAGUACCACACAGUAACAAGUCAUUGUUCCUCUGUAAUAAAAAUGACCGGUCGAUAAAGCACUAAUAAUCGAUGUAGGAGUCAAGUAUUCGCGGAUCGAAGUGUAGUAGAAAGUGAAGUAUUCCAUCUACGAUUCACACUCCGUUAACGAUCGUUUGUCACGAUCGAAGAUAAAGACGGUAAGAUUCCUACGGCGUUGGUUCCAAUGAGAAUCGCAGCCAAUCGUAUCCAAUGAGAAUUGAUGGAAAUGGAAACCCUUAUCACGAGAUGUCACCAUCCCCUGCUAAGGUUUAAAUUAUGUAAAUUCCCGGGAGUAUCGGUCGUAGCCGAUUGAAUACGCAAAAAGAACACCGAUCGAAGUACAUAUUCUUUUGGAAUUCGAUUAUGUGUCAACACGAUCGAAAUAUGUACGAACAGGAACAUAAGAAAAGAUAAAAGGAGCGUAUUAUAAGGCUUGGAUGUCUACGAUCUUGCGACAAGUAUACAAGUAUAAUUGCUUAUGGAUGCGGACACGCCCUGAGAGAAAAAUUCAUCCGGGGAAUGCGCUGAAGUAACCACGUCCUUGACCGUACUUGACGGAAACGGCAUUCAACCUUCUGAUGCCUUCUUCUCCGUCGUCCAAGAUGGAAUUCUACCGCGAGGCGGUUGUAUUCCAGCUGAACACCGUGUUUGGAACUUUUAUUUGAUGACUACCUAAAGAAAAUAUCAGAAAGAAAAUCGGGGAAGAACGUUGGAAGUUGUUAAUUCCAAAAGUAGUGGAAUUAUUAUUUCUUUUAAAACACUAAUAACGCACUGUUCGAAAAUAAGAAUUCUGGUUUUUAUAUUUCAAAAUGACCUGAAUAUUUACGAAAGAUAAGAAAACGAUUGCCUAUUUUAAUACCAUGCCGUCGAGUAUCUAAUCUAUAAAAUAGUUUUCAAGGAUACUAGAUAUCCUAAUAAAUGAUAAAAUGAUUUAAGCGCCAAGUUACACAGAUCAUAUGUAUUUAUUUCAUCUUUCCAGAUUUUCAUUGCAAGACUAAGAAUCACCUUUGUAAAUUUCCAUGCUUCCUACAAAGUAUAGAAGCAACACAGUUACAUACGUGUAAUGCAGGUAAAUUACUCAAGAAUAUUAUCCGCCUGACUUGGAAAUGAGCAUGCAGGAUGGAACCUGAUUCGCAGUGCGAAGUCUAAAUGACACGGGAGAGAAACGGGAAAUCUGACAUUCUCGUUUUCUUCUCGCACAAGCUAACACCUCGUUAACUGACCAAGAUUUUGUUUCAUUAACUGGCUAUCGCCAUCCUCGCCGAUUAGGAUACAAAAAAAUUGGAAUAGAAAUAAAAAAAGCUUGGUUCUAUAAAAAAUUACGCAAAGUUAAUUUACAAGGGCCGUAUAAUCAUGGUACCGCGUGAUUGAUUUAAAAAAUGGAGGAGGAAUUUGACAUUUUUAAAAGAUUUAUUUCGUCUGGAACAAAAAUUUUGUGCUUUCCGCCUGGAGGCUUUCCUUCCUCUUCUUUUCGCGACAACGUAACGCAACAUGCUCGUUAGAUUGGGGUUCGAGUGCGCGAGAAAGGGGAGGAAUUUAUGCCGUCGUUAACGUAACGUUCCUUGGUGCAAGGUGGUUUACAAGCAACAUCGUAAAAUCCGCGUCUUCUCGAUUUAUCAUAGCACGAGCAACAAACUGCUCGCAUUCCCUUCAUUCGCCAGUGCGUGGAAUAUCUCGUGGCGAAGGUUAUUCACCCUUCUCGAGGGACUAAAAUCACUCUAGAUCCUCCGAGAUAAUGAGGUAUAUCGAAUUGGUAAUAAACAGUGGAAAAGGAGUAUCUCGAGAGAAUUUUUUCAAUACAUUUCCUUUACAUUCUUUGCUAUAAUAAUUUAGUAUUUUAUUAUCCUCCAGUUUUUUUUAUUAGUUUCUUGUCGAUUUAUCAAAAAAUAAUUUUAAACAUAUAAUGUCAGUUGACCAUUUUAUCUGAUUAAUUGUCGAAGAUAUAUUUCUAAGAAAUUUCGAGUAUUUCUAUUCUUCUAAUGUAAGUAAGAUACAAGUACCAGACAUGUUUGCUUAUUUUACAUACGUAGUAUUAGUAUAUUUUACUCGCGUAACACUUGUUUACUUUACAUACACAAUACCAGAGAGUCACUUUAUGAAGUCAGUUUUAAAACUGUUGAGUAUGAUGAAACCAAAUAAAGAAUCAAUUAAAGUUUUUGAACGAAGGAGAAAUAAUAUAAAAUAUAAAAUAGAUAGAAUCUAAGAUAGAUACUAUAAAAUAUAUACAAUAUAAAGGGACUAAACCAUCGCUUUAGAACUUUUCACUAGGCUAAUACGAGCAUCAUCCGGAAUACAUAUUAAGAGAAGGCACAAAACACUCUAUUAGAUAGUGAAGUAUCCAGUAUCUUAAAAGCUCUGACAAGGAUUUUCAAAGACACAUUCGAUACAACUAUUACUAUUGUGCAUUAACACUUAAGGUCUCAACAGUCAAAUCUCAUACUAAGAUUCAGCGAUAGAUUACCGAAGAAACAAACUAGAAACUAUUAACGAUGGACCAUAUUAAUUACCUAAAAUGCAAUACGUAGAUGAAAGUCGAUACUCUGGAUUCUGUUGCACAAUAAUUUAUCAGCUAAUAUGUUAAUGAAUUGACAAUUACAAGCUGCAAGUUAAACUUCUUUUUCGCAACUUUGCAUUUAUAUUGAUCUUUAUGCACAUAUGGGAUAGUAGAAUGCACAUAAUAUAUAAAGAUACGUAUAUACAAAUAUCCAAAGUGGAUAAAACAAUUCUGAGAUAUAAUAAAAAAAUAAAUUUGCAGAAAUAUCCACUAGUUUACUGAUAACGUGUAACUUGUGAUUUGUGAUAUCUCAUUAAUAAUAUUAAGUCAAUUGUGCAAGACUUGGUACCAGUCGAGGGCCAAAACUUUCAAGAAAAUAACAAUUUGUGGAGGUACGACACGUAAAUGCCUGUUGAAAGUAAACAUAUCGCGGACAUACGGCGGUAUGAGCACUGAAAAAGUGGAAAGAAAGUUGCCAAUGCGCCUCGCAUACCUACUGAUCUGCCGGUUGCGAACAAGUUUCGCAGUGAAUGGACCGAGCGAAUGAACUUUUCACUCACUUGCAUCCAUGGUCGGGAUUAAUCUCGAUUAAUCGAAACAUCUUGAUUAACUCAGUGAUACCUGGCCGAUAAAUAAGUAUUUUCGUCGCUUCUAUCGCGAACAGAUUAUGUACUUCCGUGAACCAUUGCUUUGUCAUAGUGGUGCCGAUUCGUCAAUGAUACAUACGCGUUAUCGAGAUUUUAGGAUAAUUUUCGAACAUUUUACUGCGGCUUUCUAAAUCGAACGCAAUUAAUGCUUAUCGAUAUUACAAUGGGUAAUAACAUUAUUUUCAAAACAUGCUCGAUGUUCCGGCGUUCCUUGAAUUCGUCGGGCAACGUCAUGCAAAAGUCGCUACUUUAUAUUUGUUCGUGUGUAUUUCGUAACUGAAGAAUGAAAUUAUUCGUAAACGAUCAUAUACAAGUCACGCACAAAAAGUAGAAAUUAAAUUUGUUUUACGGAGAUGUCAUCGAUUAUCAAAUUGUGCAUAUUUAUACAAAUUCAUAUUGUUAGGAAUAUAGAUCAACAAUAGUUUAUAGUAAUAGUAAAUAUUACAAAGUUAUCUCAUACAGUGGCUACGAAAAGUAUUGACUUCGAGACAUUUAUGUAUAACUAGUAUUAUUUAUGCUUGAUAUGUGUGGUAAACGCGUGAGUGGCAAAAACUAUAUGAAUCCAUCCCCUUUUUUCUCAGGGUAUCGAAGGUCGUUCGAUGCAAUAUCGAUGCACGCGGAGUACGAUAAAUAUUUGCAAUUUAUGUCAAGACGGUCAUAAUCAGUAUACGUAGGUAUUUCGUAGGCGUGAAUUACAGGUGAUUGCCGUGCAGUCACAGUUUACCAUAGACAUCUUCGAUGCUUUGAGCGUGUCGUUAAGGGAUUAGAAUAAUCUGGACGUUUCAUUGGAAUUUUAUGUUCUUUUUCGCAUAUUUCUGUAUAUAUUUAAUUAUUUAUAGUUACACCAA